AAAGUCGUAACAAGGUAACCGUAGGUGAACCUGCGGUUGGAUCAUUAAUAAAUCCAAGGGUUUUGGGUCACUUCGGUGAUGCCAUUACUCUAACUGGUCUUCGGACCUUACACCUUAUGUGAACUGUUUAUUGACUCUGGUCAGUACUCUUUUGUGCUGGCCGGUUAUUCUUAACUUUGUUUUUAUUGUCUUAUACUAAGAUUUUAAUCUUAACAACUUUUAACAACGGAUCUCUAGGCUCUC
rnacentral:misc_RNA from 1 species